GGGGCGCGGGGAGCCAAUGGGCGGCGGGGAUCCGCCGGCGCGGCUCGGGGGCCCCUGGAGGAGGAGGAGAGGAAAAACCACGGGAUUGAGCUCUGUCAGUGGCGCUCGCGGCUUCCGAGGGGGAAGUGCCGGGGAAUAAUUAAUGUUUUUAUUAAAUUUGGAGGGAAUUUUUUUUUUUUUUGCAGCCGAUCGCCGCGCGUGGCCUUCAGGCUGAUUGGAGUCCAGAUCCCGACGAAAUCUCCAGAUCAAAUGCCCAGUAAAUAAAACACUGAGCUAAGACUCGUGGAAGAGCUGCAGAAUGGAUGGAUUUUAUGACCAGCAAGUGCCUUACAUGGUCACCAAUAAUCCGCGUGGGAGAAACUGUAAUGAGAGACCGACAAAUGUCAGGAAAAGAAAAUUCAUUAACAGAGACCUGGCUCAUGAUU